rnacentral:rRNA from 1 species
UGAGGAAUAUUGGUCAAUGGGCGAGAGCCUGAACCAGCCAAGUAGCGUGAAGGAUGACUGCCCUAUGGGUUGUAAACUUCUUUUAUAAAGGAAUAAAGUCGGGUAUGCAUACCCGUUUGCAUGUACUUUAUGAAUAAGGAUCGGCUAACUCCGUGCCAGCAGCCGCGGUAAUACGGAGGAUCCGAGCGUUAUCCGGAUUUAUUGGGUUUAAAGGGAGCGUAGAUGGAUGUUUAAGUCAGUUGUGAAAGUUUGCGACUCAACCGUAAAAUUGCAGUUGAUACUGGAUAUCUUGAGUGCAGUUGAGGCAGGCGGAAUUCGUGGUGUAGCGGUGAAAUGCUUAGAUAUCACGAAGAACUCCGAUUGCGAAGGCAGCCUGCUAAGCUGCAACUGACAUUGAGGCUCGAAAGUGUGGGUAUCAAACAGGAUUAGAUACCCUGGUAGUCCACACGGUAAACGAUGAAUACUCGCUGUUUGCGAUAUACGGCAAGCGGCCAAGCGAAAGCGUUAAGUAUUCCACCUGGGGAGUACGCCGGCAACGGUGAAACUCAAAGGAAUUGACGGGGGCCCGCACAAGCGGAGGAACAUGUGGUUUAAUUCGAUGAUACGCGAGGAACCUUACCCGGGCUUAAAUUGCAGAUGAAUUACGGUGAAAGCCGUAAGCCGCAAGGCAUCUGUGAAGGUGCUGCAUGGUUGUCGUCAGCUCGUGCCGUGAGGUGUCGGCUUAAGUGCCAUAACGAGCGCAACCCUUGUUGUCAGUUACUAACAGGUUCCGCUGAGGACUCUGACAAGACUGCCAUCGUAAGAUGUGAGGAAGGUGGGGAUGACGUCAAAUCAGCACGGCCCUUACGUCCGGGGCUACACACGUGUUACAAUGGGGGGUACAGAGGGCCGCUACCACGCGAGUGGAUGCCAAUCCCCAAAACCUCUCUCAGUUCGGACUGGAGUCUGCAACCCGACUCCACGAAGCUGGAUUCGCUAGUAAUCGCGCAUCAGCCACGGCGCGGUGAAUACGUUCCC